rnacentral:rRNA from 1 species
GACGAACGCUGGCGGCGUGCUUAACACAUGCAAGUCGAACGGAAAGGCCCUGCUUUUGUGGUGUGCUCGAGUGGCGAACGGGUGAGUAACACGUGAGUAACCUGCCCUUGACUUUGGGAUAACUUCAGGAAACUGGGGCUAAUACCGGAUAGGAGCUCCUGCUGCAUGGUGGGGGUUGGAAAGUUUCGGCGGUUGGGGAUGGACUCGCGGCUUAUCAGCUUGUUGGUGGGGUAGUGGCUUACCAAGGCUUUGACGGGUAGCCGGCCUGAGAGGGUGACCGGCCACAUUGGGACUGAGAUACGGCCCAGACUCCUACGGGAGGCAGCAGUGGGGAAUAUUGCACAAUGGGCGGAAGCCUGAUGCAGCAACGCCGCGUGCGGGAUGACGGCCUUCGGGUUGUAAACCGCUUUCGCCUGUGACGAAGCGUGAGUGACGGUAACGGGUAAAGAAGCACCGGCUAACUACGUG